CGGCCCUUCAUUGGGCAGCUAAGCAAGGAUAUCAUUCCGUCGUGGAAUCUUUGUUACAAAAAGGUGCAGAUGUGAAUGCCAAGGAUGAGGUGAGGAUAGAUAUGUAUGUUGGCCCCAUAUAUAGACUUGCUCUGUUGUGUGUCAUCCUACUAAAUUUCACCUGACAUAAUGUAGAUAGGACAAUAGGAUAGAUAUAUGUACGUUUAUCCAGAUGUAGUAGAUCAUUACAUCUGUGUCAGGUGUAUUGCACCUGGCGUGACUGAUGUAUGUACAUAAUGGAACCCUAUUAAUACGGUCAAGAAUUUAGGGCCAUUAACGGUAGAGUAUUAGUUGUGGGUGGGUGGGUGGGUGGCUGGGUGGGGUUUUUUUUGGGUGGGUGGGUGGGUGGGUGGGGGAAAAGGUAUCGAGGCGCUAAACUUGCUGCAACUAGGCAAAGCAUACAAUGGCAGAAUGAAUACCCAGACCAAAGCACUGAUCACAAGGCGCGAAAUAACCCCUUUGAUCGGUAUGACGUCACGGACUUUCCCCAGCGGAUGUAGCCUGCACAAUACUUCGGCCGUUAACCUUGCUUAAAUGUAUUUAACCACAUUAAAAAUUUACUCGUGGUGACGGGGUGAUGGUAUUAACACAGGCGUGGCCAUAUAUAGGUGUAUGAGAUACUUACGUGCAUGUGUCAUAUUAACUUCAUGCACGCAAUUGCAAAAUGAUAAGAAGUUAUGCCUGAAGAGACCAGACUAACACAACCAAAACUGUGUAUUGGGGAUGAGAAUGAGGUUGCCAAUAUAUAUUUCUACCUUUUUGUUGCCAUAUGUAAAUUUAGCAAAUAAUAUAUAAUAUAUACUACUUUAAGAUCAGGAACAGUUCACACACUAUAUUUGCUAGCUGAAGUUUUGAAUUGAUUCAUAAUGCCAUUGAACUCUACUUUGCUAGGUUUCACUAAGCACUGUUGUGCAGCAAAUUGUGGUUAAUUAGCAGUUAUGAGAGUGAGGAAAUAACUUUAAUUCAAAUAAAAUUUAGAGAUUUACCUCUUGUUGAAUUUUCUUGCUCCUUUAUUUGUUUGUGGUUCCUUAGAUGAACACUAUCUGCUGCGCCAUUGCACUUACUGAAAUUCACCAAUAUGGGAUGCAUUGACUACAUUCGUGUGUUAUUGUUUCUAAAUCAAAUCAUUGGUAGAAAAUUUGCAAAACGUUGAAGUUACGAGUAUUUAGGGUGGAAAUUGACAUAUUUUUACGUACUUGCUACUACAAAAUUGUUGUUAAAAUAAAUUGUGGAAGGGUUUUGUAGAUGGAAAUUUUGAGUCUGAAUUUUAUACAUUUAUUAGACCUAACAAAAUGCAACUAUAGGCUCUCUGGCAGGAAUCAAACCUGCGGCCCUGCGAUUUGUCGAGGCCAGCUGUCGAGCCCUAACUGCAAGUUCAUGUGUAUAAAUGUAUACAAAUAUGAUGCUACUGCAGUGUAAGGUGAAUGUAUACAAAUCUGGAUUUUGGGUAGAAGGUUUUAGUUUUUAGUUAAUUGUAGAAGGUUUUAGUUAUGUUGAGUGUAGUUUGACUAGUUUAUUUUCAUAACUCACCUAUAAUGCCUAUGACCAGCAUAACUGACUUCUUGAAAUUUGGAGUGUCACCAUGGAUUGUAAAAGAACAAUAAGGGAAUACAAGUAUAAUAAUAGUGUAAUAUAGGAAUACAAGUUCUUGUACAAUCCAUGGUGUCACUGAGCAGUUAAAUAUUACUGUUGUCUUUUUGAAAGUACGACAUGACCGACUAGAGAGUUCUUCGCGAUCUCUCUUUCGUUCAAGAGUUGCGUCAAUGGCUGCAAGUACAUGAACAGCAGUGGAGACGAAUAGUUUUUUUGGGGGGAGGGGGGUGGUUAUAAAUGGGCAGUAUAUGUAGGUUUCACUAAGCACUGUCGUGCAGCAGAUGCAUGAUGGUCAAUUACAGUGAAAAAAUAAUGUUAAUUCAAUUGAAUAUAAUUGGGAAAUUUACCACUAGUUAAAUAGUUCAUGCUCCAAUAUAUAAAUGUUAACUUUUUUGAAGCUGAACACCAUCUGCUGCCCCAUUACACUUAACCAAUAUAGGGUACAUUGACCACAUUGGUGUGUUAUUAAUAGUUUCUAAAUCAAACCAUUUGCAGUUGAAACGAAGCCUAUCAAGGCUUUUCAUAGUUGUAAAAUUUUUUUGUAGGGGGGAAGAACGCCUCUUCAUUGGGCAGCUAUUCAUGCACGUGUUGAUGUCGUGAGGUGUUUGUUGGAACAUGCAGCAGACGUGGAUGCCAGGGAUCAGGUGAGGAUAGAUAUGUAUGUUGGCCCCCAUGCAUGUGUAGACUUGGUCUAUGUGUGUGUCAUUCCACUGAAUUUCACCCAACAUAAUGUAGAUAGGACAAUAGGAUCGAUAUAUGUAUGUUUGUGCAGAUAUAGUCUAUCAUUACAUCGGUUUCACUAAUUGUAUUGCAUCCAACAUGACUGAUGUAUGUACAUAACGGUCAAGAAUUUAGGGCCAUAAAAAUGUAGUUGUGGUAACGGGGUAAUGGUGUUAACACAGGCAUGUGGAGAAGGGGCAGUAUAGGUAGGUUUCGCAAAGCACUGUCGUGCAGCAGACGCAUAGUGGUCAAUCAGCAGUUAUCAGGGUGAGGAAAUAAUGUUAAUUUAAUUGAAAUAUUUCUGUUAUCUCUUUGGAAGUACAAUACAAUAAUUCGACAGUUCUUCGCGAUCUCUCUUUUACGUUUGCGCUUGCAGCGAAGGCAGCAAGUACAUGAGAAGCGGACACAUUACUAUUUUGAUUCCUUGGCAAAAUGCACAAAUGUGUUCAAAUGAUGUACAUUAAACGUAUGAUGUACUUUUCUACAUUAAACGAGGCAUCAUUGUUCGCGCAGUAUCGAAAUCUCGAAGUUUGAAAUUUCAUUCGUCGCCUGGUUUUGAAUAGACCAACAUUGUACUUGGUGAAUAGAUUGACUUCACUAGUAAGACCUGAGUGGAAGUUCUGAACCUGGGAAAUAGAUGUUGAUUUUCGUUGAAUAAUCUCAGUUGUCGAUAGCCAACACGUUAAAACAAUAAAAACAAGCCACACAGCCAUAGAAUUUUGCCUAUUUAGACGUGUUUUUGCUCUGAUUAUCCGAAUUUUAGUUCCAAUUAGUUCUAAUUAGUUCCAAAUUAGCUUCAAUUUGUUCUAAUUGAACAACUGUUAUGCAUGGCAUGUGCGAUGACGUACUGUAUAUGCUCGCGCGAGAAUAAACUGUCCGUUAGCGUGCGCUUCCCGUUAUAAUUUUUUAAAAUAUAACAGCUCACCUAGAUCUUUUCAAUGUAAAAAUACUAUUUGAAUUCCCGUCAAUUCUCGUAUUUUUUCAUGUGCUAUUCAAACACACUUUAUCCAGCAGUUUUCACAGAAACCACAGCAAAAUUUGCAAUAAAAGCGUCUAAUUUUGUUUUUAAUACGGAACACAGAGUUCCACGUCUGCACACGACACCAGCCGCUGAUGCAACCCCAAUAGCACCACAGACACAGAAUAAAGACAUACAGAAGUGUAACUUCCAUUACAAAACCAUAAGGCGCUUUUUUACCGAAAUAGCUGGCGGCCAUGUUCUUAGCAAGUGCCCUAAAGAGAGGCAUUCACCUCCCUGGAAUAUUAAAUUUUCAAUAUGUUUUCAGGGGGGUGACUGCCUCUCUUUAGGGCACUUGCUAAGAACAUGGCGGACUGAAAAAAUCCCUUACGCACUUUUAAUAAGAAGAUACACUUCUGUAUGUCUUUAUUCUGUGACAGAGAAGAGAUCUACAGAGUGGAAACAGACACCUCGAUAACCCGUUUUUGUGUCAAAUCUUCCAGCCAGUGCCGUCGCUGAAAUUUCAUAGCAAAAGAUAGGGAAAACGCAGUUCGAAAGGUGAAAAUCGCUUUUUUGUUUUUAAAAUGAGAUACCCAUGGAAAUUUUGUUCAAUAAAUUAUUGUAGAAUAACGGUAAGCGAUCACUUUUAUUGAUUUCCUUUUAUUAAAAGUGUUAACAUAACAUUUUAUUUUGCAAAAAUUUGUUUUUUCCCCUAUCUACUCCUUAUUAAAAUCGUGAAAAGCACUUGCUGGGAGUUUCAGAUGCUCAUAUAUAUAAAACAAAGCAGCAAAUGAUAUAAAUUCCACAAAAUAUAACUCUCGCAUAAAAAAAACAUGUUUACUUCUAUAAUAUGUAUAGUUUUUUCCUCUGCAUUGUCAAAAUUUAAUAAAAUAGUGAAUUAAUAUAAUUUUCUAUAGUUAAUAGACUGAAUAUAUCGGCGUGACACAAUUUGCCGCGUGUUUCCCUCUCUCUACUAUCUCUUCUCUGUGCCACAGAGGAGAGAUAUACAGAGACGAAUCUCGCGGCAAAUUAUGUCACGCCGAUUAAAUAAAGUUUAAAAUUAUAUUAAUUCACUAUUUUAUUAAAUUUUGAUAAUGCAGAGGAAUAAAACUAUACAUAUUAUAGAAGUAUUCAUGUUUUUUUUAUGUGAGAGUUAUAUUUUGAGGAAUUUAUAUCAUUCGCUGUUUUGUUAUUUAUACAUGAGCAUCUGAAAUUCCCAGCAAGUGUAUUUCACGAUUUUAAUAAGGAGUAGAUAGGAAAAAAACAAACUUUUGCUAAAUAAAAUAUUAUGUUAACACUUUUAAUAAAAGAAGAUCAAUAAAAGUGAUCGCUUACCGUUACUCUUGAAAAAUUCAUUCCAAAAAUAGCCGUCGGUAGCGUAGAUUUUUAAAAAAAAACAAUUUUUCGUCUUUCGAACGGCGUUUUCCUAUUACUUUCCUUAUUAAAUUUCAGAACGACACUUGCCAGCGCUCGCCGGAAGUGAGAAUUCCGUGUGACACAAAACAAUCAGCAAUUCAUAUCUGUAUUUACCCCAAUUCAUAUCUGUAUUUAUCGAUUCAUAUCUGUAUUUACCCCAUCUGUGACAGCACAGACACAGAUUAAGAGGACCUCUUAAUCUGUGGCACAGAUUAAGUAUAUACCAUCAACCAAUCAGAUGCGUUUGAUAUACUCGAUUAACCAAUCAGAUCUGAAGGGUUUCCAUUAACAUGUUCUGACCUGCCUUCUUGUCACUACAAAAUCGCAGUUAAAAUAAAGCCUAUCAAGACUUUCAUAGUUGUAAAAUUUUGUUUUAGAACCGUAAAACGGCACUUGAAUCGGCAAGACGUGUUGACGUCGUGGAAUUAUUACAACGAGGUGAGGAUAUAGAUAUGUAUAUGUUGGCCCCGUCAUGUACUAGCCAUGUUUCUUCGUGUAUGUCACGUUUAGGACAGAUAAAUCGUAUUUUGACAGACAAACUUUAAAGAUCAUAAUUAACGCUCUUGUUUUUAGCAUACUUUUUUACUGUUCUACCUCAUGGCAUGGAGUAACACAUCUGAAGGAAACUUAAACAAGAAACAUACUGAGAACUUUUUGCUUUUUUCCCUAUUUAUUGUAAUAUUUUACAGAAAUUUUUUUAGCCCUAAACCCACAAUCGUCCACAAAAUAUAUUGAGACUUUUUAAAUCAAUCCCCUCCCCCCUUAUUUCAAUGUUGAAACCUACUGUACUUAUCCAAAACGAACAUAAGGUGACACUAGAACCGCAACUGUGUCACUGGCAGUUGAAAUUUAACAUAUGAUGUUGGAAUUAAACUAUAUUGUAGUGCCUAUAACAACAUUGAAAUCGGGGGAGGGGGUUUGUCUCAAAUAUUUUGUGGACGAUUGCGGGUUCCCAGAAAGCAAAAAAAAAUUUCCACGGCA